UGAGGGAAUAUUUGGGGUCAAUGGGCGAGAGCCUGAACCAGCCAAGUCGCGUGAGGGAAGACUGCCCUAUGGGUUGUAAACCUCUUUUGGCGGGGGAUAAAGUGCGGGACGUGUCCCGUAUUGCAGGUACCCGUCGAAUAAGGAUCGGCUAACUCCGUGCCAGCAGCCGCGGUAAUACGGAGGAUCCGAGCGUUAUCCGGAUUUAUUGGGUUUAAAGGGUGCGCAGGCGGCCUGUUAAGUCAGCGGUGAAAUCCCGGGGCUCAACCCCGGGACUGCCGUUGAUACUGGUAGGCUUGAGUGCGGAUAAGGAUGGCGGAAUGUGUCAUGUAGCGGUGAAAUGCUUAGAUAUGCCACAGAACACCGAUUGCGAAGGCAGCUGUCCGGGCCGUGACUGACGCUGA
rnacentral:rRNA from 1 species